CCCCUUCCAGAGGUAAGAGCGAUUACAAACAAAUAAUCCUUUAAAGUGUGCUAAAGGAGCUUUCAUUUUAAAAUCCAAGGAGAGGGAACGUGACAGAGCAAUAACGUUAAUGAAGGCCAAAGAAAUAUGAGCGUGACCUCUCUACAGUAUUUCCAUUUAACUGCGCAUGUAAUUAAAGCCUGACCUUUGUGAGUGCAGCACACUCGGCUGUGCGGGGCUGUGCGGCAACUUCCCCUGUGAUCCGAGCUCCUCUGCAGGGAGACAGCGGACAUUUCCACAAGUGCAGUGCUGUCUCCUGCCUUCAGGAUUGGCCAGGACGCACGGUCACGCGCUUGCUCCCUGUUCCAUGGAUGGGGAUACUCUGUGCUGCCUCUUAGCUACACCUGACGCUCUUCCUGCACACAGCCUCUGACUCUUCCUGCCAGUGGGCAUUUUCUGCAGACACCCAGGGCAUGAGUCAGCAAAAGGUAGCCAAUGCCCGAACCCAGGCCCGGAUUCUACCCUGAACUAGCUGAUGGGGACCCCUAUUGGUAUGAGAAAAAUCCCAGGAAGAACGGAAACCAGCCAGCACUUCUUAGCCAAGUGUGCCUGAAUGUACCAAUGAAGAGAGCAGCACCCACGGUUCCACGGUGGAAAACAGAGACACAGCCUUCAAAUGCUCUUCUCUUCUACCACAUCACACACACACACACACACACACACACACACACACACACACACACACACACAGGCUCAGGAAAGCCACCCCCGGGGCUCUGGAGUUAACCUCUCCCGACACCCCAGGGGCAGGCACAUGAGUGCGCACGCCCACUUCACUGGAGCAAGCUGCGGUGUUACCAGGGUGGCAGUCCAUCUCCUCGCUGACAGAUCUCCGUGUUGGGCAGGAUUUCCAAUCCUUCAUGACUAUCUAUCUGUCACCGCAGGUGAGUGGUGGCACUCAGCCUGAUCCCCAGCCACUUUCACAGUUACUUAUCUGUCUUUAUGGAUUCAUCCUGUGUGUCAAGCCAGCGCAUAACAGCAUUACUGUCAGGGUGACAAAACUGUCCCCAGAGUGCCACAAAUGAUUCUCUCUCCUUAUGGCUGCUAGCAGACGGAACAGCGACAGUACCUCCUCACUCAUCCCUCUCCCGCUCUCCCCGGGCCCACAUCUCCUGAAGGUAGAGCUGGCUACUGAUGGGUGUGGCUGAGAGGGGAGAGGGGGUGGGCUCUCCGUGAGGACCAAGCUUUUGUCACUCUCUCUUGGGUGUGUCCCUGACAUGUUUGGAUGCUUGGUGCAGUGAAAGGGAGAUCCCCCUAUUCAUGUUCCUGUCUUCCCCCCUCCCCCCACCCCAACAUGCGCUAUACAGUGAAGAGAUGGAGGCCUGGGAACUGCUAACCCUGUAAAUCCCAAUAGCAGCGGCAAGCCGAGGUGUUUAGCGUCCUCAUUACUGGGGACAGGAAUACCAACUGGAACUAAUAGUAAAUAAGGUUCAAGAGCACUUUGCUUUGCCAGAUGAUUUGUAAUCAUUUUGAUGAGUUGACUGCUUCGAAAAUAACAUCUCAUUUCUUUUCUGUUUUUAAAUGGAGCCCGGGUUCCGUUUUUUCCUCCGUGGCCUUCCUUCAAAAUGUAAUUUUGACAGCCAACGUGGAUGCCUGUGGCCAUGUUCCUCGGAAGGAAGGGGUUUUGCUUCUUCUUUAUUUUAAUUCCACAACAGACGGAAAACUAACACAUCAGGGAGAAGCCUGAAACUGUACGGGCGCCAGGCGAGGACGCCACCGUUCGGAGCGGCUGGUCCUGGGCCGGGUGUUCAAGCUGAUUCCUGACACUGGGAAAACAAACCUAAAAGCAAUUUAGAAAACACCUGCCCGUGAAGUCAGAUGGCAAAAUAUCUAAAGCUUCUCUGGAAGUCUGUGACCUCAGAGGCUGACAGGGUUUGAUGGGAAAUUUAAUGUAAUAGGCUGCGAAAGCCAAGAGGCCUGUUGUCAGCAAUGAAGUCUGAAAGUUAGCAGAAUUAAUAACGCUGUACAAUGGAAGAGCCCUCAAGGGACAAGGCUGCAGAACCAGGGCAGUGGGGAAAAAUGACUUUUGAAGUCAUUUCACUAUGACAUUCUGUCAUCACUGCUAAACGGAAAUAAAAAAUCAUCCGAAUCGCCGUGUGUUUCUUUGUGUGUCCUUCCCUUAUCUAAUAUAAAGUAAUAACACCCCACCCAGGCUGGGCAGGGACCCUCAAGGGAUUCCUAGAGCUCCAUUUUGAAUGGCUAAAUACAAUCAGAAUAAAUGCAAGUGGGAGUCUGUGCAGCAGAGAAGGAUGCCUGGGCGGCUGCCCAUCGAAAGCCAAUAAAUCUCAAUGCUUCAACAAGAGAUGAAAAUGGUUAUCUCAUCAUUGCAGUGCUGGGGUGAGAUCCUCUCUGAGCCAGAGUAUUUUUAUAGAUGAUUUAUGUCUGCGAAGGAUAGUUAUUUAGCAAAAUGGCAGAUAAUGAUGAAUAGAAAGGCAACAUGAAGAGCAGCAAGGGAGUGGCG